UUUAAUUUACAGAUUAGCACUUGGCUGCAAUCAGACCUGCUAGCAAAUGAUGACGCAGCCUAAGAUGGGGCACGCUUGCCUAUA